rnacentral:tRNA from 1 species
AGGCUCUGGGGUGUAACAUAUAUGGUUGCAAACCAUAAGAUACAGGGUGAUUCCUGUCGGGGCCUA